AUAUUAUUAAGCGGAGGAAAAGAAACUAACAAGGAUUCCCUCAGUAACGGCGAGUGAAGCGGUAACAGCUCAAAUUUGAAAGCUGCCAACAGGCCGCGUUGUAAUUUGUAGAAGAUGCUUUGGGGAUCGGCCUGGUCUAAGUUCCUUGGAACAGGACGUCAUAGAGGGUGAGAAUCCCGUACGUGACCGGUGCCGGCACCCGUGUAAAGCUCUUUCGACGAGUCGAGUUGUUUGGGAAUGCAGCUCAAAAUGGGUGGUAAAUUUCAUCUAAAGCUAAAUAUUGGCCAGAGACCGAUAGCGCACAAGUA
rnacentral:rRNA from 1 species